GCACUACUGAGGAGUCCCAUACUAGGACGAAAUGUCCGUCCAGUGC
rnacentral:hammerhead_ribozyme from 1 species